CCAGACACUACUAAGUAAAAACAGUUGACUAAGAGCUCACUUGAGCCAAGAACUCCUGGCUCAA